CUACGGGUUGCUCCAGUGAGGAAUAUUGCACAAUGGGGGGAACCCUGAUGCAGCAACGCCGCGUGGAGGAUGACGCAUUUCGGUGUGUAAACUCCUUUUAUAUGUCAAGAAAAUGACGGUAGCAUAUGAAUAAGCACCGGCUAACUCCGUGCCAGUAGCCGCGGUAAUACGGAGGGUGCAAGCGUUACUCGGAAUCACUGGGCGUAAAGGACGCGUAGGCGGGUUGGAAAGUCAGGUGUGAAAUCCUACAGCUUAACUGUAGAACUGCACUUGAAACUUCUAAUCCAGAGUAUGGGAGGGGGAGAUGGAAUUAGUGGUGUAGGGGUAAAAUCCGUAGAUAUCACUAGGAAUACCUAAAGCGAAGGCGAUCUCCUGGAACAUUACUGACGCUAAGGCGUGAAAGCGUGGGGAGCAAACAGGAUUAGAUACCCCGGUAGUC
rnacentral:rRNA from 1 species